rnacentral:rRNA from 1 species
UACGAAGGGGGCUAGCGUUGCUCGGAAUCACUGGGCGUAAAGCGCACGUAGGCGGAUCCUUAAGUCGGGGGUGAAAUCCUGGAGCUCAACUCCAGAACUGCCUUCGAUACUGAGGAUCUCGAGUCCGGGAGAGGUGAGUGGAACUGCGAGUGUAGAGGUGAAAUUCGUAGAUAUUCGCAAGAACACCAGUGGCGAAAGGCGGCUCACUGGCCCGGUACUGACGCUGAGGUGCGAAAGCGUGGGGAGCAAACAGG